CCUUUCCAACCAACCCCACACUGCCUCCCCCUGCCUGUAGAAUUAAUCACUCCCUUUUCUAUGAACCCACAGAAUUUUGCAUAUACAUGCUUCUUUCUCUCUUACCAUGGUAUCAAGUAAGAUGUGCAGACCACUCUCUCUCACAAACCUGUGAGCCCUUCUGGGGCAGAGGUUAACGCUUAUUCGUAUACAAACCACCAGUAUCCAGGAUAGUGCCUGCUACAGAAGAGGUUCCGACAAAAUGAUGUUGGUAGCCAUGUGCAUUGGGGUUAAGAGGGGCUUUGGAAUCAAAGAGACCAAGUUUGGUACCUAGAAAAUACCAUUCGUUAGCUCCAGGACUUGCAGAAGGUUAUGCAGUAUCUCUGUGGUAGGUAGAGUACUAGCUCCUUCCCCCCAAACAUGUUCGUGUCUUACUCCUUGGACCCUAGGGACCUGUAAGGGAAAUUCGGAUUGCAGAUGAAAUUAAGGUUGCUAAUCAGUUGAACUUAAAAUAGGGAGAAUAGUUCAGAUUACCCAGGUGGGCCCAAUACAAUCACAAAGGUCCUUAAAAGUGAAAGGCUGAGGCAGAAAAGGGGUCCAUGUGAUGCAACAUGAGAAUGACUCAACCCAACUUUGCUGGUUUUGAAGCUGGAGGGAGGUCAAAGCAAGGACUGUGGGCAGCUUCUAGAAAACUAGGAAAGACAUGGAAAUAGAGUCUCCCCUAAAGCCUCCGGAAAAACAUGCAGCACUGCAAACGCCUAGGUGCAAAUCAAAAAUUAUGUGUUACAUGACUUGAGAAGGCUUAAAAAGUAGAAAAGUUCUGAUUCUUUCUCUGGAGCACUAGGCCUCAAUGAGUUACUUUUCCAUGAAGAAUGUCUAGAAAAACUCAAUAAUUCUCAGUUUACCCUCCUGCAAGAGAUAUAUAUAUAUAUCUUUUGUUUUUAGUAAAAGAGAGUCCAUUUCUGAAAUCCUGAUAUAACAUAUUAAAUAUAUGUUUUUAAUGAAUAAAUAUUUUUAAUGAAAAUGUAUAUUUAGUGAACAGAUAUAUCACCAACAAUGCCACCACCCAGAGUAAUCAUACUUGACGUUUUGGAGACUAUAAUUUUAGGGGUGUGCAUGUGUAUGUGUUUGUGUGUGCGUGUGUAUCUGGGCAUCUACAAACAUGGCAUAAAAUCUUAAAAUCUUUACAAGUUUUCCUCAUCAGGCACAUAACACAAACAGCCUUGCCAUUUAUUUUUCUUCUUUGACACCCCUCAGAAAAAAUUUGGAGUCUUUAGAAAGGUCUAACACAUUUCUAAUUAUAUUUAGUCUUCAAAAUUUUAUGUUUGUGUAGCUACUGUGAAGCUUUUCUAUUGCAUGUUCUAAGAGGUUAUUGAGGAUGUGGCUAUAUUUUUUCAUUAUGUAUACUAAAAUUAUCUUUCUGUACUCUCUUAGUUCUAAUAUUUUUUUUCAAUAAAUUCCCAGAUAUUUUCCAAAGAAGCAAUUAUGUUUUCUAAAAAUAAUGGUAGGAGUUCCCAUUGUGGCACAGUGGAAACGAAUCCAACUAGGAACCAUGAGGUUGCAGGUUCGAUCUCUGGCCUCCCUCAGUGGGUUAAGGAUCUGGCAUUGCUGCCAGCUGUGGUGUAGAUCCUUAACCCACUGAGCAAGGCCAGGGAUAGAACCUGCGUCCUCAUGGUUACUAGCUGGGCUCGUUACCACUGCGCCACAAUGGGAAUUCUUUUUUAUUUAUUUUAAACAUUUCUUUUUUAAUAAUAAAAGCAUCAAAUGCUAUGAAUUUCCUCUGAGUACAGUUUUCACCAGAAUGUGGUGUAGUUAUCAUUAGUAUUUCCUAAGUAGUUUAUAAUUGCACUUUGGAUUUAGUCUUUGAUCCCAGAGCUAUUUAGGAGAAAUAUUUUAUGAGUUUUCCCCCAAACUCAAAAGCUUGAUCAUUUUUUUCUGUUUAUUUAAUUUUUUAAAAUUUCUAAAUUUGCUGGCUCUAUCACCAGCAUCUACCAU
ensembl:lncRNA